CGAGGAGACUGCAACAGACUGUGCAGUGUCUACUGACAAAAACAUCCGGGAUAUUUCAGAGAGAGAAGCAGAGAAACUCCAAAACAACAACACGGGAAACUGGAGAACCAGCUGAGCGGAACAAAACAACAGCAGUUUGGAGUGUUAUUUUUAAACUUAAUUUUAAACAUUAAAAAGUAUAAGGAAAAGAAAAAAACAGAGAAGGACAUCACAAUGGGAGGAUCAGAAUCAACCCCAGCUCCAAUCCCACCCUCACUAG